rnacentral:rRNA from 1 species
AAAAAUUUCAACAACGGAUCUUUGGUUCCGGCAUCGAUGAAAAACGCAGCGAAAUGCGAUAAGUAAUGUGAAUUGCAAAAUUCAGUGAAUCAUCGAAUCUUUGAACGCACAUUGCGCCCCCCGGCAUUCCGGGGGGCAUGCCUGUCCGAGCGUCAUU